GCCGCCGCGGUAACACCGGCAGCUCUAGUGGUAGCAGUUUUAUUGGGCCUAAAGCGUCCGUAGCCGGUUUAAUAAGUCUCUGGUGAAAUCCUGUAGCUUAACUGUGGGAAUUGCUGGAGAUACUAUUAGACUUGAGACCGGGAGAGGUUAGAGGUACUCCCAGGGUAGAGGUGAAAUUCUGUAAUCCUGGGAGGACCGCCUGUUGCGAAGGCGUCUAACUGGAACGGUUCUGACGGUGAGGGACGAAAGUUAGGGGCGCGAACCGGAUUAGAUACCCGGGUAGUCCUAACUGUAAACGAUGCGGACUUGGUGUUGGGGUGGCUUUGAGCUGCUCCAGUGCCGAAGGGAAGCUGUUAAGUCCGCCGCCUGGGAAGUACGGUCGCAGGACUGAAACUUAAAGGAAUUGGCGGGGGAGCACCACAACGCGUGGAGCCUGCCGGUUUAAUUGGAUUCAACGCCGGACAUCUCACCAGAGGCGACAGCUGUAUGAUAGCCAGGUUGAUGACUUUUGCUUGACUAGCUGAGGAGUGGUGCAUGG
rnacentral:rRNA from 1 species